rnacentral:tRNA from 1 species
CGCGGGGUGAAGUAGCCUGGUAGCUCGUCAGGCUAAUAACCCGAAGGUCGUCGGUUCAAAGCCGGACCCCGCAACCA